rnacentral:rRNA from 1 species
UGGGGAAUUUUGCACAAUGGGGGAAACCCUGAUGCAGCGACGCCGCGUGAUUUAGAGGGCCUUCGGGUUGUAAAAAUCUUUUCUAUGGGAAGAAAAUGACAGUACCAUAGGAAUAAGGACCGGCUAAUUACGUGCCAGCAGCCGCGGUAAUACGUAAGGUCCGAGCGUUGUCCGGAAUCAUUGGGCGUAAAGGGUACGUAGGCGGGUAAGCAAGUUAGAAGUGAAAUCCUAUAGCUCAACUAUAGUAAGCUUUUAAAACUGCUCAUCUUGAGGUAUGGAAGGGAAAGUGGAAUUCCUAGUGUAGCGGUGAAAUGCGCAGAUAUUAGGAGGAAUACCGGUGGCGAAGGCGACUUUCUGGCCAUAACCUGACGCUGAGGUACGAAAGCGUGUGUAGCAAACAGG